UACGGGGGGAGCAAGCGUUGUUCGGAUUUACUGGGCGUAAAGGGCGCGUAGGCGGCGUGACAAGUCACUUGUGAAAUCUCCGGGCUUAACUCGGAACGGUCAAGUGAUACUGUCGUGCUAGAGUACAGAAGGGGCAACUGGAAUUCUCGGUGUAGCGGUGAAAUGCGUUGAUAUCAUCAGGAAUACCGGAGGCGAAGGCGGCUCACUGGGGCUUUUCUGACGCUGAGGA
rnacentral:rRNA from 1 species